rnacentral:rRNA from 1 species
UACGAAGGGGGCUAGCGUUGCUCGGAAUCACUGGGCGUAAAGCGCACGUAGGCGGCUUUUUAAGUCAGGGGUGAAAUCCUGGAGCUCAACUCCAGAACUGCCUUUGAUACUGAGAAGCUUGAGUCCGGGAGAGGUGAGUGGAACUGCGAGUGUAGAGGUGAAAUUCGUAGAUAUUCGCAAGAACACCAGUGGCGAAGGCGGCUCACUGGCCCGGUACUGACGCUGAGGUGCGAAAGCGUGGGGAGCAACAGGAU